rnacentral:lncRNA from 1 species
GUUUUAGAUCUUGUAGGAGUGAACUGAAAUUCUUCCAUUAAAGUCUAAAGAAAAUGUUAACAUUUUUUAAAUGUUCUGGCUAACUUAAGAUGUGUUACUUAGCUGUUUCUCCUCCACAAACGUCAUUCUCUGAGUGUCAGGAACCAUGUCCCAACUACCAGAACCAGAAAGCUUCAACAACUGUUCAAUCACAAGCUCUUUUCACAAGUGCCUGCUUCCUUUUACCUACAGAUAUAAAUUGCUUGGAAAGCCGUGGCUAUUUUGUAGAGCUGAAGCAAUGCUUGGAUAUAAAUAUGCUCUCAGCAACCAGAUAUGGUAUUAAAACAACUAAAAAAUGGUUGAGUUUUCCUCCAUUAUUGUUAACCAUCAAAACACAGCUCUUACUCUUGAAGACUGCAGACACAGACACAGAUUUUAAAGCAGUUGUUACAGCUGACCCUGUGAAACAGUGAGUUAUUUCACACUGAACACUCCUAAUGGAUACACAGAAGAACUAAACGUAGUAGAAGUUACUUUUUCUCCUCUAUUUAAAAGUGAAUUAUUCUUCACCAUCAGAGUUGCCAGAACUUCCUGGCAUGUGGGACAAGCCAGAUGCUGGAGAUACAGGACUUGAGAAAGUGAGCAAAUGCAGUGGGGCAUGCUGUGGAAAAAAUAGCAUACAUGAAUACUGUAGUACACAUGGCCACCAAUGGAUGAAUAAAGAAAAGAGACUUGUUUUCUUUGAAUACCAGCUUGGGACUGGUAUUGCAAUAAUAGUCUCCCAUGUACCAACAUUUGCAGAUGGUCAUCCGGAGAGAGCCCAAAGCUUCCCUUCCCUGUGCCAGAGCUGCAACAGUCCUCCUCUCCCACCAUCCCCAGAAGGGAAAGGCUGGUUUAGGUAUUCUGGACGGAUGCUGCUCAGGCAGGUAAUUUUGGGCAAUGGGAGUCAGUCAGAAAACUACAGUUCCUUUCAUCACUUGUAG